AUUGAACGCUGGCGGCAGGCCUAACACAUGCAAGUCGAGCGGAUGAAGGGAGCUUGCUCCUGGAUUCAGCGGCGGACGGGUGAGUAAUGCCUAGGAAUCUGCCUGGUAGCGGGGGAUAACGUCCGGAAACGGGCGCUAAUACCGCAUACGUCCUGAGGGAGAAAGUGGGGGAUCUUCGGACCUCACGCUAUCAGAUGAGCCUAGGUCGGAUCAGCUAGUUGGUGGGGUAAAGGCCUACCAAGGCGACGAUCCGUAACUGGUCUGAGAGGAUGAUCAGUCACACUGGAACUGAGACACGGUCCAGACUCCUACGGGAGGCAGCAGUGGGGAAUAUUGGACAAAGGGCGAAAGCCUCAUCCAGCCAUGCCGCGUGUGUGAAGAAGGUCUUCGGAUUGUAAAGCACUUUAAGUUGGGAGGAAGGGCAGUAAGUUAAUACCUUGCUGUUUUGACGUUACCAACAGAAUAAGCACCGGCUAACUUCGUG
rnacentral:rRNA from 1 species